CCUACGGGAGGCUGCAGUGAGGAAUAUUGGUCAAUGGACGCAAGUCUGAACCAGCCAAGUAGCGUGCAGGAUGACGGCCCUCCGGGUUGUAAACUGCUUUUAGUUGGGAAUAAAAGGGGGCUCGUGAGCCCCGUAUUGUAUGUACCAUCAGCAAAAGGAACGGCUAAUUCCGUGCCAGCAGCCGCGGUAAUACGGGAGGUCCGGGCGUUAUCCGGAUUUAUUGGGUUGAAAGGGAGCGUAGGCCGGCUUUUAAGUCGGCUGGGAAAGGGCGGGGCUCAACCGUAAAAUUGCAAUUGAUACUGGCAGUCUUGAGUACAGUUGAGGUAGGCGGAAUUCGUGGUGUAGCGGUGAAAUGCUUAGAUAUCACGAAGAACUCCGAUUGCGAAGGCAGCUUACUAAACUGCCACUGACAUUGAUGCUCGAAAGUGUGGGUAUCAAACAGGAUUAGAUACCCUUGUAGUC
rnacentral:rRNA from 1 species